rnacentral:rRNA from 13 species
GAUCAGCCACACUGGGACUGAGACACGGCCCAGACUCCUACGGGAGGCAGCAGUGGGGAAUCUUAGACAAUGGGCGCAAGCCUGAUCUAGCCAUGCCGCGUGAGUGAUGAAGGCCUUAGGGUCGUAAAGCUCUUUCGCCAGGGAUGAUAAUGACAGUACCUGGUAAAGAAACCCCGGCUAACUCCGUGCCAGCAGCCGCGGUAAUACGGAGGGGGUUAGCGUUGUUCGGAAUUACUGGGCGU